rnacentral:rRNA from 1 species
UAGGGAAUCUUCGGCAAUGGACGAAAGUCUGACCGAGCAACGCCGCGUGAGUGAUGAAGGUUUUCGGAUCGUAAAACUCUGUUGCCAGGGAAGAAUGGCCGAGAGAGUAACUGCUCUUGGUAUGACGGUACCUGAGAAGAAAGCCCCGGCUAACUACGUGCCAGCAGCCGCGGUAAUACGUAGGGGGCAAGCGUUGUCCGGAAUUAUUGGGCGUAAAGCGCGCGCAGGCGGUCGAUUAAGUCUGGUGUAUAAACCAAGGGCUCAACCUUUGGUCGCAUUGGAAACUGGUCGACUGGAGUGUAGGAGAGGAAAGUGGAAUUCCACGUGUAGCGGUGAAAUGCGUAGAGAUGUGGAGGAACACCAGUGGCGAAGGCGACUUUCUGGCCUAUAACUGACGCUGAGGCGCGAAAGCGUGGGGAGCAAACA